CCUACGGGAGGCAGCAGUGAGGAAUAUUGGUCAAUGGGCGCGAGCCUGAACCAGCCAAGUAGCGUGAAGGAUGACUGCCCUACGGGUUGUAAACUUCUUUUGUCAGGGAGCAAUUGGGUCCACGCGUGGGCUUAGCGAGAGUACCUGAAGAAAAAGCAUCGGCUAACUCCGUGCCAGCAGCAGCGGUAAUACGGAGGAUGCGAGCGUUAUCCGGAUUUAUUGGGUUUAAAGGGUGCGUAGGCGGAAUAUCAAGUCAGCGGUAAAAAUUCGGGGCUCAACCCCGUCGUGCCGUUGAAACUGAGGUUCUUGAGUGGGCGAGAAGUAUGCGGAAUGCGUGAUGUAGCGGUGAAAUGCAUAGAUAUCACGCAGAACUCCGAUUGCGAAGGCAGCAUACCGGCGCCCAACUGACGCUGAAGCACGAAAGCGUGGGGAUCGAACAGGAUUAGAUACCCCUGUAGUC
rnacentral:rRNA from 1 species